GACGAACGCUGGCGGCGUGCUUAACACAUGCAAGUCGAACGGAAAGGCCUCUUUCGGGGGGUACUCGAGUGGCGAACGGGUGAGUAACACGUGAGUAACCUGCCUUGACUUUGGGAUAACUUCAGGAAACUGGGGCUAAUACCGGAUAGGAGCUCCUGCUGCAUGGUGGGGGUUGGAAAGUUUCGGCGGUUGGGGAUGGACUCGCGGCUUAUCAGCUUGUUGGUGGGGUAGUGGCUUACCAAGGCUUUGACGGGUAGCCGGCCUGAGAGGGUGACCGGCCACAUUGGGACUGAGAUACGGCCCAGACUCCUACGGGAGGCAGCAGUGGGGAAUAUUGCACAAUGGGUGGAAGCCUGAUGCAGCAACGCCGUGUGCGGGAUGACGGCCUUCGGGUUGUAAACCGCUUUCGCUCAUGACGAAGCUUUGUGUGACGGUAGUGGGUAAAGAAGCACCGGCUAACUACGUG
rnacentral:rRNA from 1 species